GUGGAUUUUUCUUAUUGGCUUAGUGUAACUCUCAGUUUUAGUUAGUCUCACACUGUAUCCCUAAUUUUUUUUUUUUUUUUUUGUUAGAUUCCCAGCUAGAAGAGCAAGCUUAAUGGAGAUUUCAGCAUUGUGGACAUGCAUUAUAAAAAGGAGAUUACAAUAGAUACACAAGUUCCACUGCAUAGCAGUGAUUCUUCUUGCUGUGUAAAAUUCAACAGAACAAAAGAAACCCACUGCUCAAAUUCUCUCAGAAAGUGCUGAAAAAUUAUCUUUUAUUUGAACAAUUCCUGGACAGAUUCUGCUGCUCUUCAUCACUCUGGGAUAUCAGUCAAGAAGCAGGAUAGUAAGAAUGAGAGUAAGAGCACAUAGAGUUGAAGCAAUUAUGGAUCUUGUCCUGCAAAGAUUUUCAGCGGACUGAAUAUAUCACACUGUGGCCAGCCAUAAUCAGUUAAAUUAAUGCAGAGUGGGAUAUUUUCUGCUUCCCAUUUCAGGGCUUCUUACUGGAGGCAACUGGGCCAUUUGUACAGCAAACUCCUGCUUUUCUAGCUUCUCUCUUUUUUUACCCAAUGUAAUGCUAACACUUGGUAAAAAGUUUCUGUGGUGGUUGUAAUUGGUGGACAGGAGCACAGAAAUGAUUCAAUGUUCUUCAAAAAGCUCAUUGAGAUCAGAAGAAAAGCUCCUAUUGAUCUCAGGCAUACAAAGUCAAGCUUUUAUUUAAAAAUAGUUAACGUCAUGUUUGAAAACUCCAGAUCAAAAAAAGCUCCCUCAUUUCUUUUGUCACCUGGUCAUGCACACCCAAAACUCCCAGUGAGGUCAAUGGGGCAUCAAGAAGCCUUCUGGCUCAAAGUCAGGCACAUUCACACAUUAGAGCUGCUGACAUGUGGCUGAAGUCAUGAGGGUGCAGAGGAUACUGCUUUGGCUCAGAAAGCUCUUACUCAGCUUGCUAUCUAAAAUGGUCCCUACCCAUCAAACCUAACCUGCUCAGAUCUCUUCCAAUCACUAUCUGCUGUAUUGUGAGAAGGCUGACUUGGCAGCUUUGAAAUGACAGUCUAGAAAUUGGAGUAAUUUCCUUGCUAGGAUUAAGGUAGUUCUGGCAAUCCUAAGAGUAAAUACACAAGAGAGGUGAAUCUGCUUCAUAAAUCCCUAGUCUGAGGUUAUCUCACCAACAAAUAGACAUUAAUCUGCCCAGUGUUACUAGUCAAAGUCAUAUCUGAAAGAUUUUGAUGGUUGCACUGAGCCAGUCAAAUCUCAGGACUGUUGCUCCCUGCUGCUUUGUGUUUUCUGGUUUUAAACUGGGACUGCAGAGGAGCAACCCCUUGCAAAGUACAGCUGCAUAGGUUCUUGGAGCUAAAAAGAAAACCAACAGAAAAAGAGGGCUGCAGCCCCUGAGCAGUAGAUGACUCAGGAAAACUAAGGGAAUUUUCUAGCAAGUGAGAAACUGCUACAGGUGAAGAAGCAUUUGUGUUCAGGUCCCUCCACCCUGCUGUAACUCUAGCCAGAUAGCGAAUCAACACUGCAGAUACUCAGUGGUACUGGCCCCAGCCCAAGUCUCCAUGCCAGAAUCCUAGCACACCUGUUAAACAGAUUCCUUUCACCCAGUUUUCAGCUAACAUUUCAGCUGUAGCUGGUGAUACACCCAGUCUGUGGCAGUCCUAUGGCUGUGAGCUACAGUCAUUACUCAUCAUACUUCAGUGCUCACCAUGACACUGGGAUGUCAAAACCAGGCAAAGAGCACUGUUGCCCUGAACCAUAUGGGAUAAUCCACCUGACUGGUGUAACUUUAGGUACACAGGGAUCAUGUAGGUGUGUUGGUUUGGGCCAACACUAAGGAAGGGUGAUGGCAAGCCCUGCAGUAUGCUAAAACACAACUUCUUUAAAGGUUUUACCUUCUGUCUUUAAUGCUCCAUCUGUCUAGGGGCAUGCACUGACAGUUCUCUGCCCAAGCACCAUGCCAUACUGUGCUGUCCCACCUCAGGACAGUGAGAGCUUCAUGGCCUGGGUGAGAGCUACAGAUGGAAAUGCUGGCUGCUGCUGCUGCAGCUCUUCCAGAUGCUCAGGAGGGGCACCAUGAAGUCUGCUCUCCUAAAAGACAAUCAGCAGCAUUAGAGAGGCAUUUCCCCAGAAGGUGUAGUGCUGCAAGUAUUGGAAGUGGAGUGCUAGGGGCAAGGCUUCAAAGCGAUGGUGCAGCUUACCUGCUCUCCCUUGCUGCUGAGCCAAGUCUCAUUGAACUUUAAGUUUAGAGUCUGGAAAUAGGAGUUGGUUGGUUUAAGCUUAUGAUGUAUUUCUUAAGAAAGUAGGGGAAAUGAGCCACAGGAUGAAGAGUAGAAGCUGCAGCAGAUGCUUAAAAGGACAACAUGGGUUUCAGCUGCCUUUUGAGCAAGCGGUAGCAUUUUAAAAGGCACAUCUUCUGCCACAUAAUACACCUAAGGAUCAAAGGGAGUAGACGAUGAUGCAGUACUCCUCCUCCCCUCUUUUAGCUUGUCUGUUUUUUGUGUCUAGAAACACAUAGGGCGGGUUGUUCAUGAGGAAGUUCCAGGUUUGCCCUAACUAGCUUUGGUAUGAUGUUGUGAUACCAAGAGGAUUAAACCAGGUUCUCAAUAGUGGCUGGAUGGUGGCUGUCCACUGCUGGAAAAGUCCAUUGGAGAGUUCCAGUAGAAAGUUCUCACAGAUACAGGAGUGAACAUUUUCACUACUGGUUUCGAAUCAGGACUUUUGGAAACCUGGAGGAGAAAGAGGAAGUGCAGACAGGACUCCACACACAAAGGAAGAUUUGAAGAGAAUUAGUGUCUUGUAUCCACAAUCAUACAAUUGAAUCUACAUUGAAGAUGGAGGAGAAUGCCUUGAACUGAGACCAUGAGGAGAGAACCUGUGUCAGCCCUUGAGUCCUAUUUGCUUUAGCAACCUUUGCCAUAAUUUAAGAAACAUCUCUGGUCAGCAAUAUUGCAUUUGCUGGAAUGUCCACAACACCUCUCUGUGAAUUGAGCCUGCUUCUGCCCACUACAAAGAAGAGAAAUUUCCACAUAUACUGAAAGUAGAUAUUUUUUCCUGCUUUGGUCCAGUUUCCAAACAUUACUUGCACCAGAAACCCAAUCUGCUGAUAGAGCUAGGACCGUAGUUCACUGAGGUAAUGGACUCAAAAAACUGAGAGCAAUGACUUCUGAAUACAAAUUAUGAACGAACAUGAAAUGGAAGACACUGUGUGAGCCUCAGUUCAUUUUGAUGCUAACCACAACUGAUUCAGAGAAAAUAAUUAAUUGAAUAGAUGUAGGAGGGUUUAUUUCAAUAUUAGACAUCAAGUUCACUUUCUGAUCAUUGAAGACACUGAUCAAUGAAGCCCAGUUGGACUCUCCAGAGCUGGAUAUUUCAUUAAGCUGCUUGCCUUGGGCUCAUAGAAUUGCUGGACUUCUUAUCUCGUAAAAUGACAGUGGUCUGAGCUUCAACAUGGUCCUUUGGCCCCUCUACUUGGCACAAUGCUGAAGCUUUCCAUAUGUCGCCUCUCCAUAAAAAUGAGAGAUACAAUCCAGCCAGAGUGGUGCCCUGGAGCAAUGCUGGUCAUCCUGAAGUCCCAGCAUGUGGUGUUGUUUAGAACCAGAGAUAACUGGAGUCAAUGAGAUACACCUUCUUUCUGGGAGUUACAUGCCACUGUUCCAGCACUUUAUCUCACAGAAGGAAAACACAGCCUUAGACCAAAUCAAACACUGUUCUGCCUGGUUGUGUCACCCUUCUUGUUCUUUUUUGGCCCUAGGCAUCCAUUAAGGAGUUCAGGAUGUUUCUUCCUCCACACAAGUCCUCCUCUGGAUGGUGCAGCAGCUUCUCUGCAGCCCAGCCAGUUUUCUUCUUCCUUGGCUGAUCCUGGAAGUAAACAAAAAACACCUGCCAAAUAAGUACAUCCUGCUCAGGGGUCCUCAUCUUGGAGCUUUCUCUCCUGCAUUGCAUCCCUUACUUGUUUUCAAAGGGCUGCAUUGAUACCUGUCUCCUUUUUUCUGGCUCCGGGAAAAUUCCACUGGCUGGGGCCUGCCCUCAGCAUGGACUCACGGCCUCAGCCAUUGCGUUACUAAUUCUUUCACAUAAACAGAAGAUGUUUAAGUUAAUGUUCUCCCAUUGUUAAUCAUGUGUCAUCCUCCUGUGCAAUUUCAAUUCAAAAUGGCGGUAAAAACAUGGCCAGGAGGGAUAACUGCCUACUUGCAAAGCAGGGUUUCCAGUCUCCCAGAGAAAGUCCUGCAUUAUCAAGCAGAACUAAUAAGAAGUUCAAGAUAUUUCUAAAUGUGCAACUGUGCCAGUAGACUCUGGUUCACAGUAGACUUCUGGUAUUCUGAGUCUACCACAGGCCACAUAAUUAAGCUAACGGGUAAUAAUCUAUAUAUGUAGUUUAAAAGAGGUUUUAUACAAAUAUCUAAAUGAAGCUGAUAAAGCAUUUUGAAGAAAGUUAACUAGAUCUCUGUCUUCAAAGCCAGUUUUUGUAGUAUACUGGUGCACCAUAGCUGGAAAGCAUCUUGGAAACCCCUUCAUAUGUUCCAUAGCUAAAUAAACAUUAGGGCUUUCCAGGCUAUUCAAGACUGAGAUGACCAAUCUGCAUUUGGAGAGAGCACCUUGGAAUUUACUUAUUUAAUUUCAUCAAGUUCACUUCUCUUCAGUAUGCUCAGUUCCUCCCUUCAGUUUUUUUUUUGUUUGUUUGUUUGUUUGUUUUGUUUCCCCCACACACACACUUUUUUUUCUCUAAAUUAAUCUUUUGGAAAAGCUUUUACAUCAUAAAUUUAAGAGCAAAUAAUUCAAAACCUCCACCGUGAGUUUUUUAAAAUUACAUAGCACUGGGCAAAUGAUGUUAUCAUCAAGUGGUAAAAUAUCCAGCAACUUCAAAAGAAGCAAAGUUAAGUCAACACAGAGUCCUCAUUAAAACUCCACCUUUAUUACUUUAAAAAGAAGAGGAAGUUUAAAAGGACUAACUAAGGAAAUUCAAUGCCCAAAUCCCAUUGUAAUUCAAUACGAAUGGGGCGCCACAUUCCCUUAGGCUGCUUUGCAAAUUCUCUCUCACAAUGAAUGCCAGACUGGCUCCCAUAAUGAGCCAGUCAUUCUGUAGUAUCAGAAGGCCAAGGUGAUUACUGGGUGGUGAUACCUGGUGUAGCUGAAAUAAUGCAAUACUAUGGAAGUAUUGUGUUUUCAUCACUGUGGGUCUGUGAAACAAAAUCAUCUGGAUGAGUUUAGUAAUGGAUCAAGAAUGACCCAUCUGGAGGCAAGAGAGGAUGGGGCUGGUUGUUAAGAGGGCCAUUAGGUUAUCUGCAGGAUGCUUCACCUCCACCUCUAGGACCCUCUGAAACCUAGACAGAGAAAUGGAACAAGGAACUUACAGGCAAAAUCACAAAGCCUGGAAGUAUUUGUUUUAAGAUAUCACUCAAAAGAUCAAAUACUGUUUUUUUAUGGUUGCCUCUCCAAAUCAAGCAAAGGCAAAGAUGUAGCUAAUUCCUCAGCAGUCCAUCCCUCAAGCACACACGCCAGGAGAUAUCAAAUCUUCCUCUCCAUUUGCCAUCAGGCUGGAAAAAGCACUGCUGCUCCUGCUGCAACAGAGAUUUGGAAAGCUGCACCCAGGAGUGGCAGAGCCUCCACCCCAUGCUGAGACUUUCCACACCACCAUCAGCCCUGCUUCUGGUCCUGCAGUGUUUGCAGCAAUUAUUGUCAUUCACAGCCUGGUGUGCCAUCUCCCUCUAAUGCUCUGUCUAUGUGUAAGAAUAUCCACCUAUAAUAGCAGAGGGGUAUAAAGCUACUUUGAGGAAAACAAGCUCACCUGGCUUCAUAUAGAAAGUUUUAAUUUCUCCGAAGGAAAAGACCCACGAUUCUUCCCACACUAGGAUCAGCCAAGAAGUUUUUACUGAGGUUUGUUAACGUUUCCUUGCUUUUCAGAAGAAGACCCCUUUCCCAAAAAUUAAAAUAAAAUAAUCCUCCCCUCUUUGCCCCACUGUUAGGAUGGGUCAGCUCUGGGGGUUGAACCAGUAUUUUAUAUGAUUUCUUUCAUUUGGUUGGAUAAAUUUCAUAUGGGUUUGGAUUCUCAGAGAUUUCUUAGUAUACAAGAUAUGAGGAGUAUGCUGUUUUGAAAACUCAAUAUUUUGAACAGAUCAAUUUUUGCAUUAGAUGAAAUCCCUUCUUUUUAGCUCAAAACUACCUGCCAGAGACCAGGGGAAAGAACCCAACAGUGCCUCGAGAGAUCAUUUGUUUCAAGUGGACUCAUCAGGGGUCCCUUCAGAGCUGUGUUCCUCAUGCUCAAAUUAUAUCCAUGGUGUUGUUUUUAGCAGGCAAAUUCUUAGAUUGUACAUGAUUUGGGUUUGUUCAUAGAGUUAAUCAGUCUGCAGGCACAGUUCUAUUAACAACUCCUACCAACAGAGAUUUCCAGUUGGUAUUACAACAGAGUAGGUAAAUAUCACAUAUUAGGAGGGACAGCGUUGUAUAUCACAGGGAUAUGGUUUCCCUUACCAGUGAAGUAUUGUUCAGAGGAUGUCCAGAGCAAAGCCCAGGAAAAUCCACAGAAACAAUUCAGUUGACUUUAUUGGGCAAAGAACACUUGUUUAAAAUCAAGGAAAAACUUACAGAGUUAACAACCCCCUAUCCUGGGUGCAGAAUUAUUAUUUAUAUUUUUCCAAUUAUUUUCAGUCCAGGUUUUCUGACAGUAAAUAUGAGAAUUUGAGCUGCUAAGAUACUAUAAUUACUUCCUCUCCACAUCCAGAGCAAAUCAGUCAUUCUGUACUGCUUGCAAUAGGUUUUAUGAGGGACCAUAUCUGAAUUCUUACUCAUGCUAACUGUGAAGUUACUGAUGUGAAAGAAGAAGUGAAUGGAGCUGGCUAGACUGUUAGCUUUGGGAUUGCUGUCAGGACAGGAUAUAAUUCAAGCCACAGUCAACUGUGCAUUUUUAGGUGGGGACAUCAUGGUUCAAAGAAGAAUCCAUAUUUGAAAUAAUCUAAUGUUACUUAGGAGGACAACUGUGGACAACCGUAUUGUUUUUUUUUAAUAAAAACUGCUUGCAAAUGAAUGUUUGAGGUUCAUUAUUCCACAAGGCAGUGAGGGCUAGCAGUUAGGAGGUGGACAGGAAGUCAGGAUACUUAAUUAUUUUCUUUGGUUAUGUUGCUGAAAAAACAGGUUUUUUGAGUGUAUUAGACCACCUCCCAGUGGUUGUUUUCCUUCGUAUCCUCAGGCUAUUAAGAGCUUCUGUGCAUGCAACUCUUCCAA